AUGCGGCGGUGUCGGGACGCGGGGCAGGCGGUGCUGGCCGCGGUGCUACUCGUAGAUGCAGUCAGAGCCCAGGAACAGCAGGAGCAAUUCCUGGAGAGCACCGAAGGCACUGGCAUCAACAUCACCUGCUCACACCCCAAAAACGUAGGCAUUGAGUACAUCCAUUUCUACCGUCAUCAACCGGGCCGAGCACCCGAAUUCCUCGCCCUCACUGCUAGAGGCUCCAAGGAUAUGCCGGCCAUUGCGGGCCAGCUGCGGGUGUCGGCAGACCGGCGCUGGAGCGCGCUGUGGCUCGGGCGGCCCCGGCGCGGGGACGCGGCCGUGUAUUACUGCGCGCUGGGGGCCACGGGCAGAGGAGCCGGGGCUGCGGCCGGGCACGAACCGCCGCGGGCGGGGCCGGCCGGGGCCAGCAGGGCCUUGA